CAUGAGCAGCAUGACAAUGCCUAUCCCACCAAAUUACACAGCCAUCGUUAGCUUCUUGCACUACGCCCCUUCAUGUGUGGAUGUGACAAGACAGCCAUGUCGCUGUGAGUUGCUGUGACUUUGAGACUAAUCACUAAAAUGAGAGGGCUCAGCACAUGGUAGCAGACAGCAUAGAGCACUGAAAAUCUGCACACGGCCAUCUUCAAUUAGCAGCUCAAACAUCUAGCUCACAGCAGGGCACUAGGACAUUAGAUUACCACAAUGUAGUGUGUGAACGCAUGAGUAUAGAUGAGUAUGCGGGCAUGCCGGGACCAGACCGGACCUUUACACUCUAUUUACAUGGUCACACCUCUCGAAAUAUAUCUAGACUACAAGCCACCAGGUGACGUACAGAAGAAAAGACAUUAGCAGCAUCCUUUUCCCAUCAAAGCUGGAAGGAGUUCGGUGACGUAACGCCUACGCUGCGCGCUCGCGACGUCCGCCUGCCUAAUCGGAGUGGGCGGGGCUAAAGACAUAGAUUACGAAUUCCACGAAGGG